CUAUCUGCGGCCCCAGCCCUCUUCGUAUUCACCUCCCACCCUCCAGAUGUGAUUUCCUCCCCACGCCUGGCUGUUUCCGCUGCCCGUCAUCUAGUUCAUCUCCUGUCUUCUAAGACUCAGCUUCAAGAUCACCUCCUCAGGUCCUUCUGUCCCCCCGGCCGGGUGGCUCCGUUACCUCCACUGGGGGCUCCCGUGCCCCCUGUGCAUGGCCUGUUCUCUGCAGUUCUAGAUCAUAACUGUGCAUGAGAUGAGAUUGCCACCUUGCAGAACUGGGGGCUCCUUGAGAGACAGAGCCGCACUGAGGGCGCCGGGGCCCCUGAAGCUGUGCCAGCAGGAGCUCAGGAAACGGGAUCUCCCUGACCACCCUUCCCCUGACGCUGUUCCCUGUGUGCCCUGUUUGCUCUCCACGACCUAUGAACUCAGUGGAGUUUGCUGACAAGACAAGCUGGUUCUAUGUACUGUUCUGUGGGAAGCCUGAACUCACCUGCUGAACUUGUAGGCCCCGCACUGACCUGCAGUGCCUUCAGAUCCUCAGAGGUGGCCUUCACUAACUUGUUCCUCCCACCACGGCGAGGAAUGGACUGGGUCUGAUUGUGACAAGGAGACUGGGCUGUGGAACCAGGAUGGACAAAGGAGCAGAGAACUCCACAGUUUGCAGUGCGAAACUGAGUAAGCCAGAUCAGUCCUGCUGGUGAAGGCAAGCCCUGCCUCCUCUGAGGAAGCCCACGCCAUCUUCUGGGAUCUCUAAGCCUUGCUCUGGGAACUUCUGGGGAUUCAGUGAGGGUCAGGUGUUGCCCACGUAGGGCUAGUCUGGACCCAGGCCCUUGCUCACUUCCAUCUGGUCCUCAUGCCUGCUGAGCGCUCUUCCUGGCAGCAAGGCUGAGAGUACUGGAGCAAUGGGAUCUCCUCGUAUCCUCAUCAUGUCCACAGGCUCAUGUCUAGCAGGAGCUGGGCCAAGCCCCAGGUUUCCUCAAGGAAGGUGGAGAAGACUGCUCCAAUACGAUUAUCAGAAUGUGCUCGCCUAGCUGGCAGCGCUGAGAUCGGGGCGGCCCAUUUCUGCCUGGAUGCCUGCUGGGAGGGGUUGGCAUGGCAACAUGAGCUCUGAGCUGCUGAAACUUGGAGUCAGCUCGUGGCUGGGAGGACACAAAGAACGACGGAAGAGGAUGCCUUUCCGAGUGAAGCAGGUCAGACAAAUCUGGGCUAAUCCCUGCAAACCAAGUCCCAGAAGCAGAACUGGGGACUGGGGUCCAGUGUCCACACAUGUGCUUAGCAACGCCGCCUGCUGACACAGCGGUGCCAGGUAGACAUCUGUUCACCUCUCCAGAGCCAGAGUCCCUGCCUCCCCUUCCUGUGGCCUUCCCCAGCCUCCCUGCCCCUCCUACACUCGCCCUCCCUUGUAAACCCCCAUCUGCCCGUCUCAUCAGGCACAUGCCAGUUUGCACAUCAGCCCCCACCAGCCUGAGAGCUCCUCGUGGAGUCUCAAGCACCAGCACAGGCCCAGAUCUUAGCCGGCUCCAGCUCUUUGGCUGUGACAGACCCACUUUUGUCUGCCCCGCAGCCAUCUGGGUGGGGGGCAGUGAGCCCUACCAGGCCACUCAGCACCACAACCUCUUGACCCCCAACUACAUGAUCACAUAACCCUAGCUCUUUCUGGACCCCUCAGGCAAGAGGCCUGCAUUCUCUCUCAGAUGGAAGCACUAAGAGCCUGAAGCUUCCAGAGCCUUCCUGGAGAGUGAAUCCAAUUUGGAGGAAAAUAGACCUUAGGGCUGCAGAAUGAGGCUGAGUCCUGGUGACACCUUUGAGCUUCAGUUUCCCUGUGCCUGAGUCUAACACAGCCCCCAGAAUUUCUAAUUAAUGGGUUGGCAAAAUACCCUUUUCUUCUCUCUAGACAGUUUCAGUUGGGUUUCUGCCACUAAAAGGAUCUAGUCUAAUAUCAACCUUCUACUUGAUCUUUUUAAAACUUAAUUCUCAUCAUUUCCCUUCCUGUGCAAACCUCCUGUGGUUCCCCCUGGCCUGCCUGCUGGGCAAAGGUGGAGUCUCCUGAGUCCCUGAAGGCCUGGCAAGAUCUGGCAUCUGCAGUUUGUGCCCCAUGAGUAUCCCUCAAGAGACAGCCAUGCACAGACUUUGUUGUCAGCUGUGCCAGGUUCAAGUCCUGCUGCCGAUACUGGAUAGGGUGCUUGCCUGACUCUGAGCUGCAGUUUCCUCAUCCGUUAAGCACACAUAGUAACAUCUCAGAGUAGUUGGAGAUGACAGAUGGGCAGCACUUAGCACAGUGCCUCACACAUCUCUAGUACAUUACUAGUCAGCCGUCCAUUUCUGUGGUUCCUCAGUUCUCCAUAUCCAUGGAUGUGGAACCUGCAGUCACAGAGAGCUGACCUUAAGGGACUUGAGCAUCUGUGGACUUUGGCAUCUGUGGGAGGUCCUGGAACCAAUCCCCUGUGGAUACUGAGGGAAGACUAAUAUUUUAUUACUGUGGUGGUGGUGGUCUCAGUCAUGUCUGACUU